GAAAUGCGAUACCUGGUGUGAAUUGCAGAAUCCCGCGAACCAUCGAGUCUUUGAACGCAAGUUGCGCCCGAGGCCACCUGGCCGAGGGCACGCCUGCCUGGGCGUCACGCCAAAUACGCUCCCACCCCCUCAUCGGGAGUGGGAUGCGGCAUGUGGCCCCCCGUCUCGCAAGGGGCGGUGGGCCGAAGAUGCGGCUGCCGGCGUAUCGUGUCGGACACAGCGCGUGGUGGGCGACCUCGCUUUACUUACCGCAGUGCAUCCGGCCCGUAGCCGACGUGAUGGCCUUGAAGGACCCUGUAAACGGAGCGCAUGACGCUUCGACCGCGACCCCAGGUCAGGCGGGACUACCCGCUGAGUUUAA
rnacentral:misc_RNA from 1 species